GCCAGUCGAAUGAAUUUAGAUUCAUGGCAGACGAGGUAGUAACACGUAGGUACGUACCCUAAAGUCAGGGAUAACCUGUCGAAAGGCAGAAUAAUACUUGAUGGUCCCUUCGGGGUAAAGAUUUAUCGCUUUAGGAACGGCCUGCGGUCUAUCAGCUUGUUGGUAAGGUAACGGCUUACCAAGGAUACGACGGAUAGGGGAGGGGAGAGCCUGAGC
rnacentral:rRNA from 1 species